GGUUUGUGAGAUCAUCGAGAGCCCCCUGUUCCUGAAACUGAACCCCAUGACCAAACACACCGACCUCCCCGUGAGCGUCUUCGAGUCCGUGAUCGACAUCAUCAACGGAGAGGCCACCAUGCUGUUUGC